rnacentral:rRNA from 1 species
AUUGAACGCUGGCGGCAGGCCUAAAACAUGCAAGUCGAGCGAGCGGCGGACGGUUGAGUAAUGUCUGGGAAACUGCCUGAUGGGGGGGGAUAACUAUUGGAAACGGUGGCUAAUCCCGCAUACCAUCAGAUGUGCCCAGAUGGGAUUAGCUAGUAGGUGGGGUAACGGCUCACCUAGGCGACGAUCCCUAGCUGGUCUGAGAGGAUGACCAGCCACACUGGAACUGAGACACGGUCCAGACUCCUACGGGAGGCAGCAGUGGGGAAUAUUGCACAAUGGGCGCAAGCCUGAUGCAGCCAUGCCGCGUGUGUGAAGAAGGCCUUAGGGUUGUAAAGCACUUUCAGCGGGGAGGCGUUACCCGCAGAAGAAGCACCGGCUAACUCCGUGCCAGCAGCCGCGGUAAUUC